AUUGAACGCUGGCGGCAGGCCUAACACAUGCAAGUCGAGCGGAUGAAGGGAGCUUGCUCCUGGAUUCAGCGGCGGACGGGUGAGUAAUGCCUAGGAAUCUGCCUGGUAGUGGGGGAUAACGUCCGGAAACGGGCGCUAAUACCGCAUACGUCCUGAGGGAGAAAGUGGGGGAUCUUCGGACCUCACGCUAUCAGAUGCGCCUAGGUCGGAUUAGCUAGUUGGUGGGGUAAAGGCCUACCAAGGCGACGAUCCGUAACUGGUCUGAGAGGAUGAUCAGUCACACUGGAAGUGAGACACGGUACAGAGUCCGAAGGGAGGCAGCAGUGGGGAAUAUUGGGCAAAGGGGGAAAGCCGGAUCCAGCCAGGCCGCGUGUGUGAAGAAGGUGUUCGGAUUGGAAAGCACUGUAAGGUGGGAGGAAGGGCAGUAAGUUAAUACCUUGGUGUUUUGACGUUACCAACAGAAUAAGCACCGGCUAACUUCGUG
rnacentral:rRNA from 1 species